CACCCCACUAGCGAACACUGUGUGCAGCAGUAAAGCACACCCCUUCUUAGUCUUCGCCACUAAUAAGUCAGACAUUUAUUGCAUCAAAUCAGAAUCUAUUCCUCUACGGGUAUGUCUUUAUAUAAUUGGUGAACAUACAUAAGAAUAAAAGUUGCCAAAGAAUUGUUAACCUCUUCCUUUUUUUAAGUCGUCAGGUAUUUAUGGCAAUUGUGAUUAAAAUGCGAAAAGUAUCCGUGGUCGCUUUUUUUGUAGUAUAUCUUCAAAUGGCUGCUCCCGUCUUGGGUCCUGGGAAAGUGAGACGGCGUGCCAUACUGACCGAAAAUCACCUUUUUCCAAUUCCUGCACCGUGCCAGGGCCUCGGUAUCCAUAAGACGAUCUAACUCCAUCCUCGAACAAUUGUAGUCUCCUACUUAUCAGUUGAUGUUGCGAUUUAAUCUUCCGGGCCUUAUACCGGUAAACAUUAUGUCCCCUUAUACUUCUUCUACACUCUACAGGGAUAUUCCAGGCUAGUUCUAUGAAAUCAAAUGUUCAUUAUAGUAACUAAGGGCUUGCUUCGUUGAUAGCUGCCGCAAGAAAGGCACGAAUGGGGUGGUUGCCGACCGGAGUGGUACCACAGCCUUACAGAAACGCGUUAAUCAACGCUUGCAGAGUUUGCGUACUAAUAAUAGGAUAGUAUAUAGUCAAUACUACACUCGGCGUCACAAAAAUCGCACCUCUUCGAAAAUAAGUUAUAACAUGCCCCGCCAGUAAUGAAUACAUUAAACCUUAUUAAUAUUGGUAUCAAUUGAAAGUAUGUUUAACGACCUUUCAAUUAACACCAGUUAGAAUUCCUAAACACUAUAGAUCUCAUCAGCACCUCCAAGAUGCCGUCGUUGCAGAAUGGGACAACAUUCCUCAAGAGACUGUUGUCACAUUAAUUCGAUCCAUGAGAGAACGCAUGGAUAAAAGAAAGAGACUGGAUUGGCCUUGUGGGCGGGCCACGCGCGCCGAGGGUGCGAACGAACGUGCAUAGCGCUGUCUUAACGCUCAAAUGUUCAUACUUACCGGCUAGCAAUCGCUGUCAUGUUUUGACAGCGUACGUAUCUCCGCAAAAAUAUUAUAUUAUGCCGUCUUGCGCUAUUGUAACGUGUCGGAAAAGAAGCCAGGUGUGUAGCAUAGCACGAGAAGGAAUUUCUUUUCACCGGUUUCCAACAGAUCCAGGUGUAAGAAAAUUGUGGAUUGACACAACUGGUAGAAUUAAUUGGAUUCCUACUAAAUGUAGCAUAAUUCGUUCGCAACAUUUCGAUGUUGAUAAUUACAUAAUAACAAAGUCAGGGAAAAUAAACUUAAAAUUAGGCGUUUAUCCGCACAAAUAUAUCACAAUGUGUAAUUCAGUAAGUAAACUGAUUUUAUUUUAGAAAAUUUUAUAUUGGUCUCUUUAAAUCAGCUUUUUUGUCUAAAAAUGGCGAUAUUUAAAAUAUCAUCUUUUGUAAAUUUAAAAAACGAAAAAAUUAAAUAAUAUAACCAUGUUAUUUCAAUAUGUUCUGUACUUUAUACAAAUUAUUGUAAAUGUGAGAGCCCUGCAUUAGCUAAAAUUGAAUUAGACUAGUAGAAUGCAUUUGUGUCAGCUUAGAGUUGUCAUGCUCACUCAAAGGUCUCAUUGGCGGUGGCACGGGCGUUGGAUCGUUCGAUUCCCUGCAACAUGGUUGAGUUGGACGGUGCUGGUGUACGUGCCAUGUUGGUGAACGAGCGCUGUCAACUGGGACUGGUCAGCUCCAGACUGUAUUAAUUUUGUUGUUCUUAAGGUUUUUUUUCUAUCGCUUUGACUGAAUAUUAGUUUUACAUUGUUCUCACAUAGUUGAAGCAAUCGAUGCAAAGAAAAGCAAUGUAACCAAGAAUUGUAUUGUAAAUCUGAUUGAAAAAGAUUAACCUAUGGAGUUUAUUGCUCGUUCUUCUCCAUAGGAAUCUACACUUUGGAACGAGCAAAUAGCUUCACUAGAGGGCUGACCGACAGACAGACGUUAUUAACAUUAUUAUAUUAGUUUUGACGUUCAAAAGUGCCUUUGAUUUAAUUUUUUACUUAUUUUUAACUUAUUGAGUAAUAAAAUUGGUUUUAAAAUUCAGUUGUGUAUUUUUUAUUUAUUUUACUUUUAUUACUUGGUUUCUAUUUCGUAAGUAUGAAUACAAUUUCACAAUAUUCAACAAUACUUGUAAAACAAAAACAAAAUGACUUAAAUUUUAUCGAUAUCAACAAUCGACCUUUCUCUCGCCCUAGCAUACAUGAGUUUUUAUGCGUGUUAGAGUGUACGUCAAAUGCAGUCAUUGCGUUUGUGUGACAACCAAUAGCAAAUUCGAGAUUUAAAUGUGUGUUAUUUAUUUGUGGGGGUAAUCCGCUCAGGCAUUGGUCUCUUGCUUGUAGUGAAAUUAAAGGGUGGGAGAAACGGCGACACGCGUUCUGAUACAAAUCAGGAACUAUUUCAUUUCUACUCUCUUUAUCUAUUCUGUGAGAGAACGCAUGGAAGCAGUCAUCAGGGCUAGGUUUUAAGUUGUUUUUAAGGACUUUGUUGUAAUUUUUGCUGAUAAAAUAAAAUUCAAUUUUUUAAUCAUUUGCAUUUGCUUGCCUUUUUUUAAUCCCUGGUAAACAAAAAACCAAAUCCAUUGCUUUAUUCUGAAAUUUAAAUGAAUUACGUUUCCAAUGAUACCUGACAGUCAUAUGUCUGCCAUUGAUUAAUAGGGUUAAAAUGACUUUGAAGGGAUUUUUAAAGAGGUGCGAUUUUUGUGACGCCGAGUGUAUUUAUGCUAGUUCUUAAUACAUUAAUUAUUAUUUCUAUCUAAACUUUAUAGAUAUAUAAAGCUGACGAGUUUGUUUAUUUGAACGCGCAGUUCUCUAAACUACGGGAUCGAUUAAGUAAUUAUACUUGUGUUGGAUAGCCCUGUUAUCGAGGAAGGCUGUAUACUGUAUAGAACGUCACGCUACGAUCAAUCAGAACCAAGCAGUGGCUGAAACCGCGCGGGAGUAGCUUAAUACACUCGGCGUCAUAAAAAUCGCACCUGUUAAUGAAAAUCCCAUUCUAAGUUAUUUUACCCUUAUUUAUUAUGGUAGAAAUUAUGACUAUUGCGUAUAGUUCGGAAGGCGACAUUUAUUUCAAUCAAAACUAAUAUUAGGUAUAAAGAGGAAAGGUUUGUUUAAAAUUAAUAGGUUCCGAAAAUACUGGACCGAUAAAAAAAGGCUUUCACCGUUGGCAAGCUAAACUAUUCCCGAGUGAAAUAGGCUAUGUUUUAUUUUCAAAAUAAUAAGCAAUGCUUAAUAAUAACCUAACCCAAGGUGUGUAUAAACACCGCUAGAGCUAGCCUCGUGCCUAGGGAUUGAUCCUUAUCAAAAUAAAUAAAUCCUUAUACAAGACUACUUCAAAACCUUCAUGUCACCUUUUAAAUGACUCGCUUCUGAUAUAUCAUUCAAAAGAUAUUACGAAUUUAAAUAACAGAAAAAUCUCCGCUCGGCUAGCUAUGCGUUGAAGACAGUUUCGGAAAUAAAUGGCUGUGACAUACGGACGGACAGACAGACAGACAUGGCGAAUCUAUAAGGGUUCCGUUUUUUGCCAUUUGGCUACGGAACCCUAAAAACCUUUUAAAGGAUAGAGAUGUGAAGAUUGGGAAUCCGGGGAUUUAGGAUUUGGGAAGAUGGACAACUGCAUGUGCCUCCGGUAACCUCACUCACACGGGGAACCAUAUAUUUAGAAAGCGUUGCUUCGGGCUGGUUUUCUAUACGAGCUGGCCCAUCCGAAGCAUAACUAUCUUCCUUAGUUAGAAGAUUUGUCCUUAAGACUAAGGAUAAAGGCUUCGCCUUCGGCUUGGCGACGCGGUCUUAAGGUAGUCCCAACCCAAAACCAACCGAAAGUGAAAAGUCCAAAACUUAAUUUAAGAGUUUAGUUGAAGACAAAAAUAAUGCAGAACUAUUCUAUUCAAGCUGAUCCUUACAAUAAAAGUGGAAGCAAAAUGUAAUGAAGACAAUGGAACCUAGGUGUAUGUUAUUAACAAGGCAUAAGUGGCGUGUGACGUCACGCAGGUGUAGUGAUAACACGCGAUAAGCACGGCUCUCGCUCGCGCAGCCUGCUGCCGCAAGUAGGCCGAUGUAAUCACCGUCGCGGCCCGCUACGUCAACACGCGGAAACAACAAACGGCCACAAACCGGUAUAGUUAGUCAUUUGUACAUUAAUCACUUACAUAAGAAACAAAUAUGGCGCCCACUCGCCACUUCACAUCAAUAAAUUCCAAGCCAAAAGACGCGGACACACCUGCAGAAGCACGAGACCGUGUCAUCAAUGUCAAGCGGCAACACCGCGGGCGCAGGGAUUGGCGCUGGAGUUGGGGGGACACUUCGGUACUUGACGUGCAGCACACGCCGGGCGGCGCGGGCGCCGCUGCGCCGCAGGAUGCCCACGGGCCAGCGGCCACCCGAUCGGCCGGCGCUCUCGUCGCAGCCGCCGCCGGCAUCGCUCAUUCUGUGCACCCUCGCCUUUACCACCAUGCACCUCACGUGUCACUCAGCCCGGGCCUCUGAUACCGCACUUCAAACGCGGACACUACGGCGUUCCGCGUAGCGCGGCGCUGGACUGCGACGACGAGACAGCAGCGUAAAAAACGGCACUCACGUUUGCGCACCGCGCGCGACUGGCGGUGGCAGCGAGAGGACGCGCCGGCGCCGCGCGGUGACAUCACGCCUUAUCAGCACACCUGUGAGCUCGGGGACACCGCCACUCCUCGCGAUUCUCCAACUAACGCCGGUUCCUCGGCGAAAUGAGACACCCAACAACAAUCGUGUUUACAUUGCACAAUGCAACUGUGAAGACAAUGGUGGCAAUGAUGCGUGUCACAUCAAUAGGUACUAACUUACGCAAUACCAUAAAUAUAAUAAAAAGCUUUAAAGUAUUGUAAUUAUGUACGGAUGUUACUAGGUUUGCGAGGAUCAAUAUCUCCAAAAGCCUUUGCAAUAAGCAAUAAAAUAAACAACCAAGGGUGGGAGAUUAUGCCAAGGUUCGAAAGUGUGCAUCACAAUCACUCAACCAUUAAUUUGGCCUAAAAAGGACUAUACUAUAAAAUAAGCGCUGUUUGUUGUACCUUCACGUGGUGUGAAACGCUAAUAAGUCGCUGUUAUUUAGUCUUAGAAUUUUAAUAUUUUUCUAAUAACUGUUGUAACCUUAUGAACUGGUGUCAUUUGGACGUCGACUUCAUGGACACCCUGUAUGUAUAUCGUAUGCCAUAUACCUCCUCCUUUUUUUGGAGUUGGUUAAAAUUUUAAUUAAGAAAUAAGUAUUAUUGUUCACAUGUACUUCCCACCCACGGAUAGUUACAAGUUGGUGCCACAAUCCUAUAACAAUAAUAUAACUUACCAGCCAUGGUCAUAAUCUAUACAUCUACAUUUAAUAUAUAAAGCUGAAGAGUUUGUUUGUUUGAGUGUGCUAAUCUUAGGAACUACUAGUUCAAUUUGAAAAAUAUAUUUUUCUGAUGGAUAGUCCUUGUUUGAGGAAGAUGAUAAGCUAUUUAUUUAUUUAAGGGUAGUUAACAACUUCUAUACACAUUACAUUUGACAAAUUGGUCUACAAUAUACAUUUGUCAGUGUAACAAUCAGUUAAAGGCUAACACAAUAGAAUAGUUAUAAGGCCGAAUUGAAGUUAUUAAAUACAAAUAUUAUAUACUUAAACAAGCUAUUUAGGGUGAACUCACAAUUUUGCAAUAGGUACAUAAAUUAUAGAAACAAAGAUAUACAUAUAAAGAGAAAAAGAAAUAUAACAAUAACUAUCAUUAAUUAAAUUUAAUUAACAUAUCAUUGUAUAUAUUAUAAAUUAAAUAAGAAAUUAAAUUAAUAAAUGAUGACAUUGGGAACUAUCAAUCAAUAACCUUGAUGUUGAAUGUUUAUGGAAUAUUUUUAAAGAUAAUUUUGGGUAUGAUAAUUGAAAAAUUAAACAAACACCGACCAAUUCAACAAGCCUUCAAACGGAACUUUUCAAUGGAUUUUUUCACACACUCAAACAGAUAGUUAAGGAGUAAGUAUAAGUUAAGUUUUGGUCAAAAAAUCACGAACUAACUACAAAAACAUAAAUACAAAACUAAUGGUUUGAUUUAAGUUGUUUUCGUUUUUAUCAAUUGAUACUAAUACUGAAAUUUCGAAAUAUCAUUCGUUUUAAAAUAGCAAGUAAAUUCCUAUCAAAUUUUGAUUUUGGUUAAUAGAAAACUAAAUUUAUAAAAAAAAUAUCAUAUAUAACACGUUGGCUGCCAUGGGGGGUCAAAAUGACCGGCGCUAGCGGAGGAUUCGCCUUCAACAGAUUUUUGUUGGCAGCCAAAGUGAUAAGAAGCAUACAAACUAUAACAAAAACUUGCUCGGUUUAUUAGCUACUCAAAAUGUAAAAUUAUUUAUAAAAUUCUCGAAAAUAAACUAAUGAUUUGAUGAUAAGUAAAGUGUACUUAGAAAAGGGCAAUUUCAAAAACAUCUUUAUGUACAAAAUAUUGAGCACACACUUCCUUAUCUCUGUGAAGGUCACUCAUGAAUUAAAUGUGCGUCUUGUUUCUUCAGCCACUUCAUAUAUCAACAUCAUAUAAUAUGUUAACAGUAAAGCAAAAAUCCAAUUUACAAGUCUUAGGAAAAGAAUUCCGAAUUAAGCAAGGAGUCAGACAAGGCGAUCCACUGUCCUCAAAGCUAUUUUCAGCAGUUCUAGAGAAUGUCUUUUGCAACCUUAACUAGGAACAUAGGGGACUAAACAUAGACGGGAAAAAAUUAAAUCACCUACAAUUUGCGGGCAAGCUGGUUCAACUUGGAAGAAAGUCCUAAGAAGCUUGAGAAGAUGAUCCAAACUCUAAACACCGAAAGAUCAAAGCUAGGUCUAAAGACAAGGACGAAGCUGACCAACUCGAAAAUGAAACUCGUAGUAGGUAAUUCAAGAACGAGAUUAUUGUUACUUGGGCCAGAUCAUUUCCCCUAAAGAUCAAACAACUUAAGAAAUAAAUAAGAGGAUUGCAAAUGGGUGGAAAAGGUAUUGGCCCCUUAAGGAAAUGAAUCUAAACACCACAACAUGUCAACCAAAAGAAAAGUGUUCAAUACGUGUAUCCUCCCAUGCAUCGCCAACGACUGUGAAUCCUGGUCUCUCACCAAAUAUCUUAGAGAUAAUAUGGAAAAAUACCGGAGAGGUCUGGAUCGAAGCAUGACAGGAAUAAAACAGAAUUAGCUAUGUCCAACUAAGAGCAGAUUCUAGAAUGAGUAGACCUCCAGAAAUGGAGAUUGACUGGCCUGGACUGGACUGGAAUGAUGGAGAUCAAAUUACUACAGUAUCUGCUAUGGACUUGCAACAGUAUAUGGUAAUCUCCUAUGGGGGAAUGCUGCUGAGAUUCAGUCUGUCUUUGUGCUGCAGAAAAGAGCCAUUUUAUCAAUUUAUAAUCUUAGUCUGAGGCUCUCUCAGGGAACUAUUUGAAGAAAUAGGGUAGAUGAGUAAUUUUUUUGUCAUGUCCAUCUUGUAGUUUAUUUUAAAAUAUUAGACACGAUUUUUUUAUUUUCUUACGGAAACAAAUACGUUCGAAGAUGUAUUGAUUUGAAAUAUCGCGUGACGUCAAUUCUAGGUAUGUUUUAUACGUAAAAAUGACGCUUUUGCUCCCACUGCUAAACUUUGAUUCAUUUUAUUCAAAUAUUGUUAUUAUUUGUUAUCUUAUACAACAAAAUAUGUUUCUAAUAUUUUAUUCAUUGCCUAACUGACCACCAUCGUCAUCCCUAUUAAUAGAAUGACUGUUGCCUCUCAAUACAUUUAUGAAAAUGUAUGCGUUUAAAAACAUUAAUUAAUUUAAAAAAAUAUGGUGAUAUACAUAUAAUAUUAUAAUAUAAUACAAUAUCACACACUAAAAGUAAAACCAAAUAUGUUGUUUCCACUUCUAGACUUAAGAAAAUAAGUGGUUUGUUAAAAUAUGUCAAUGUUACGCUUUUACAAUAAAAUUCCCAACCAUUCUAAGUUUGAGCCUAAAUAAAUGUAAAAAUGUUUUUAUAGAAAAUAUUUAUAGUAAAGCACUUUACAAAAUAAAAGACUACUUAGAUAAUAGUGAGGCUUGAUAAUGUGGUGUUAUAAUGUCCACACAGAUCACGUUGACAUGUUUAUAAUUUUUUUGUCAUAUAGCACUUACGGUGACCAGAGAUCGUCAUGCGAUCACCAAUGCCCGGAGUGUAUUCUGAGGUGGCUAGGGUGUAGACUGACCUCUGAGUUUGUUUCGGCAUUUCUUCACACAAUAAUCCGACAUUAAAUGCCGACCUGAUCUAGUUAUUUUACAGAUCGACAAGUAACAGUGUUACCUUGUAACUGAUUUUCAUAAUCAAAAAUAAACAUAUCAUUUAUGAUUUAAUGGAGUGAGAUGGUAAAAGAUUUUGUGGACGACCACACAAGCACAACUAGGAAGAAGAGCUGAAACUUACUGCGGGUGUCAAAUGGAGAAAGGUUGCUCAAGACCGGAAUCAGUGGAAGACACUGAAGCCUUAACCAACAGGCACACUGGGCAAAUUUAUCUUCUCAGAAAAUUUUAUAGAAUCUAAACAUCAAUUCUCUCACCCAGUUCAAAGGGCUUAAUAAAAAAAAUGAAUAAUGUUUAUAAAUUAUGAAAUAAAAAAAACCAUCACAUUAGGAUCAAUAGCUGCAUGGUUAGAUGUAGUAAAAUUGUGCACAGCAUAGUACCAAUAAAGGUUUUAUCCACUCAAACGCCCGGGCGACUAUAGUCGCCCAAAAAAUUUUGGCGUUAAACGCCCGGGCGACUAUAGCAGCCCAUUUGACUUGUUCACUUCCAACGAAUUUUUAUCUAUGACAAGCUUCAAAGAGCUUUACGAAUGUUAUACUAGAUGGAUCUGUAUAAAAUAACGCAUCUAUUGGUCGGUAAAACAGUAUGCCAGGUGACAGCAAGAAUAUAAAAAAUAAUUGUUUACAAACUGUGUGUCAAGUUUUGUGAAGUGUUUGCGUUUAAAAUUGAAGUAUUCAUUUAUUUAUCAUCCUACUGUAUUAGUGUUGUAUAUUAAAAUAAUCCUUAAGAUUCAUUCUUUCAAAAUAAAACAACGAAAAUAAAUAAUUAAAUAACGUUUAGUCAAAACUUGUUCAAAAAAACAAACAAAUAUUUAGCCCGUUCUGUUAAGUUCAACUUUUUUUUAUGCAUUUGUGAUUGAUUUCUGUACUUUAAUUAGUAUAUAUUUUGAUUCCUUAAUAAUUCAGCUUUAUACUGGUAUUUUUUACUUUGCUAUAGCUGCAAUAGUUUGCUAGAAAAUACACUUUGAAUCGGUAACGGCAUGGGGCGCUCGACGCGGUUCAACACAGAUCGAGCGCGUGGGCGUACAAGGUGUUGACAGGUGUCGCACGUGAACGUUUGAGUGGUUA